UACGUAGGGCGCAAGCGUUAUCCGGAAUUACUGGGCGUAAAGCGUGUGUAGGCGGCUUCGUAAGUCGGAUGUGAAAGCCCCGGGCUCAACCCGGGAAGUGCACUCGAUACUGCGAAGCUUGAGUACUGGAGAGGUUGGUGGAAUUCUCGGUGUAGAGGUGAAAUUCGUAGAUAUCGAGAGGAACACCGGUGGCGAAGGCGGCCAACUGGACAGAUACUGACGCUGAGACACGAAAGCGUGGGGAGCAAACAGG
rnacentral:rRNA from 1 species